GGAUUUGAGGGCAAUCUGGCUAUGACAUCUGUGACCCUUUUCACUGCCAGGGUUGAUUCAGCUGAUCCGGCUGGGUAGGCAGUGUCCCUUUCCUCUCUCCUCCAUGUGCAUCCCUCCUGAAGCUACAUGCUUGGUCAAAGAGGAUGAACAUUUCUGAUAGAGGAGGACUGCUCUUUGGUCAAGAGUAUAAGAGUAGCUGGGUUCCCUGUUAGAACCUCUGAACAAGCUUUCAAGAAACCCAAUGUCAUAAAGCAAGUAGUAAUAAGACUAAAAACCAUGACGAUGGCCAGACCAUGGUGGCUCAGUGAUCAU
rfam:Tupaia chinensis contig201441, whole genome shotgun sequence.